GUACACUCCUACGGGAGGCAGCAGUGGGGAAUAUUGGACAAUGGGCGCAAGCCUGAUCCAGCCAUGCCGCGUGAGUGAUGAAGGCCCUAGGGUUGUAAAGCUCUUUCACCGGUGAAGAUAAUGACGGUAACCGGAGAAGAAGCCCCGGCUAACUUUGUGCCAGCAGCCGCGGUAAUACGAAGGGGGCUAGCGUUGUUCGGAUUUACUGGGCGUAAAGCGCACGUAGGCGGACUAUUAAGUCAGGGGUGAAAUCCCGGGGCUCAACCCCGGAACUGCCUUUGAUACUGGUAGUCUUGAGUUCGAGAGAGGUGAGUGGAAUUCCGAGUGUAGAGGUGAAAUUCGUAGAUAUUCGGAGGAACACCAGUGGCGAAGGCGGCUCACUGGCUCGAUACUGACGCUGAGGUGCGAAAGCGUGGGGAGCAAACAGGAUUAGAUACCCUUGUAGUCCCAUGAU
rnacentral:rRNA from 1 species